rnacentral:piRNA from 1 species
UGCCAAUUAAAGUUCCAAAAA